GAUGAACGCUAGCGGCAGGCUUAAUACAUGCAAGUCGAGGGGCAGCAUGACUGUAGCAAUACAGUUGAUGGCGACCGGCAAACGGGUGCGGAACUCGUACAGAACCUUCCUUCGAGCGGGGAAUAGCCCAGAGAAAUUUGGAUUAAUACCCCAUAGUACAACGGAGUGGCAUCACUUUGUUGUUAAAGAUUUAUCACUUGAAGAUGGCUGUGCGGCUGAUUAGGUAGUUGGCGGGGUAACGGCCCACCAAGCCUGCGAUCAGUAACUGGUGUGGGAGCACGACCAGUCACACGGGCACUGAGACACGGGCCCGACUCCUACGGGAGGCAGCAGUAAGGAAUAUUGGUCAAUGGACGAAAGUCUGAACCAGCCAUGCCGCGUGGAGGAUGAAGGUCCUCUGGAUUGUAAACUUCUUUAUAUGGGACGAAAAAGGGUUUUCUAACUCGUCUGACGGUACCAUAUGAAUAAGCACCGGCUAACUCCGUGCCAGCAGCCGCGGUAAU
rnacentral:rRNA from 1 species